rnacentral:misc_RNA from 1 species
CUUCUUCUUCUUCUUCUUCUUCUGUUCUAUCUUCUUUAUAUUCUUUCUUUUCUUUAUCUUUCUUUCUCCUCUGCAAAAUAUUUUCUUUCUAUUUAUGUAAUUUCUUCUCUAUUCUUCCUUUUCAAUUACUCUUCUUCCUUUCUCUGUAAUUUUCUUCCAAUUCCAAUAUCAGUUUCAUGUUCUAAAUCUUUGCUUCAGGCCUGAUUUUCUUUUAAUAUUUUCUUCCUCAAAUUUUCCAAGAAAUAAAGUACACUCAGAGCAUCAAACUAUGGAUAUACAAUUUUGGGAACAAAAAGAUCUCCAGAGAAUGCUAGAAAUUUUUGAAA